rnacentral:rRNA from 1 species
AUGAAGGACGUGCUAAUCUGCGAAAAGCGCCGGCGAGGUGAUAUGAACCUUUGACCCGGCGAUGUCCGAAUGGGGAAACCCAGUGUGAUUCGUCACACUAUCGUUAACUGAAUACAUAGGUUAACGAGGCGAACCGGGGGAACUGAAACAUCUAAGUACCCCGAGGAAAAGAAAUCAACCGAGAUUCCCCCAGUAGCGGCGAGCGAACGGGGAGCAGCCCAGAGUCUGAAUCAGCUUGUGUGUUAGUGGAAGCGUCUGGAAAGUCGCACGGUACAGGGUGACAGUCCCGUACACGAAAAYRCACAGGYUGUGAACUCGAAGAGUAGGGCGGGACACGUGGUAUCCUGUCUGAAUAUGGGGGGACCAUCCUCCAAGGCUAAAUACUCCUGACUGACCGAUAGUGAACCAGUACCGUGAGGGAAAGGCGAAAAGAACCCCGGCGAGGGGAGUGAAAAAGAACCUGAAACCGUGUACGUACAAGCAGUGGGAGCACCYUYGUGGUGUGACUGCGUACCUUUUGUAUAAUGGGUCAGCGACUUAUAUUCUGUAGCAAGGUUAACCGUAUAGGGGAGCCGAAGGGAAACCGAGUCUUAACUGGGCGUUAAGUUGCAGGGUAUAGACCCGAAACCCGGUGAUCUAGCCAUGGGCAGGUUGAAGGUUGGGUAACACUAACUGGAGGACCGAACCGACUAAUGUUGAAAAAUUAGCGGAUGACUUGUGGCUGGGGGUGAAAGGCCAAUCAAACCGGGAGAUAGCUGGUUCUCCCCGAAAGCUAUUUAGGUAGCGCCUCGUGAAYUCAUCUUCGGGGGUAGAGCACUGUUUCGGCUAGGGGGCCAUCCCGGCUUACCAACCCGAUGCAAACUACGAAUACCGAAGAAUGUUAUCACGGGAGACACACGGCGGGUGCUAACGUCCGUCGUGAAGAGGGAAACAACCCAGACCGCCAGCUAAGGUCCCAAAGUCAUGGUUAAGUGGGAAACGAUGUGGGAAGGCACAGACAGCCAGGAUGUUGGCUUAGAAGCAGCCAUCAUUUAAAGAAAGCGUAAUAGCUCACUGGUCGAGUCGGCCUGCGCGGAAGAUGUAACGGGGCUAAACCAUGCACCGAAGCUGCGGCAGCGACACUAUGUGUUGUUGGGUAGGGGAGCGUUCUGUAAGCCGUUGAAGGUGUGCUGUGAGGCAUGCUGGAGGUAUCAGAAGUGCGAAUGCUGACAUAAGUAACGAUAAAGCGGGUGAAAAGCCCGCUCGCCGGAAGACCAAGGGUUCCUGUCCAACGUUAAUCGGGGCAGGGUGAGUCGACCCCUAAGGCGAGGCCGAAAGGCGUAGUCGAUGGGAAACAGGUUAAUAUUCCUGUACUUGGUGUUACUGCGAAGGGGGGACGGAGAAGGCUAUGUUAGCCGGGCGACGGUUGUCCCGGUUUAAGCAUGUAGGCGGAGGUUCCAGGUAAAUCCGGUACCUUUUAACGCUGAGGUGUGAUGACGAGGCACUACGGUGCUGAAGUAACAAAUGCCCUGCUUCCAGGAAAAGCCUCUAAGCAUCAGGUAACAYSAAAUCGUACCCCAAACCGACACAGGUGGUCAGGUAGAGAAUACCAAGGCGCUUGAGAGAACUCGGGUGAAGGAACUAGGCAAAAUGGUGCCGUAACUUCGGGAGAAGGCACGCUGAUAUGUAGGUGAAGCCCCUGCGGGUGGAGCUGAAAUCAGUCGAAGAUACCAGCUGGCUGCAACUGUUUAUUAAAAACACAGCACUGUGCAAACACGAAAGUGGACGUAUACGGUGUGACGCCUGCCCGGUGCCGGAAGGUUAAUUGAUGGGGUUAGCGGCAACGCGAAGCUCUUGAUCGAAGCCCCGGUAAACGGCGGCCGUAACUAUAACGGUCCUAAGGUAGCGAAAUUCCUUGUCGGGUAAGUUCCGACCUGCACGAAUGGCGUAAUGAUGGCCAGGCUGUCUCCACCCGAGACUCAGUGAAAUUGAACUCGCUGUGAAGAUGCAGUGUACCCGCGGCAAGACGGAAAGACCCCGUGAACCUUUACUAUAGCUUGACACUGAACACUGGUCCUUGAUGUGUAGGAUAGGUGGGAGGCUUUGAAGCGUGGACGCCAGUCUGCGUGGAGCCGUCCUUGAAAUACCACCCUUUAAUGGCUGGUGUUCUAACGUAGACCCGUAAUCCGGGUUGCGGACAGUGUCUGGUGGGUAGUUUGACUGGGGCGGUCUCCUCCCAAAGAGUAACGGAGGAGCACGAAGGUUAGCUAAUCCUGGUCGGACAUCAGGAGGUUAGUGCAAUGGCAUAAGCUAGCUUGACUGCGAGAGUGACGGCUCGAGCAGGUGCGAAAGCAGGUCAUAGUGAUCCGGUGGUUCUGAAUGGAAGGGCCAUCGCUCAACGGAUAAAAGGUACUCCGGGGAUAACAGGCUGAUACCGCCCAAGAGUUCAUAUCGACGGCGGUGUUUGGCACCUCGAUGUCGGCUCAUCACAUCCUGGGGCUGAAGUAGGUCCCAAGGGUAUGGCUGUUCGCCAUUUAAAGUGGUACGCGAGCUGGGUUUAGAACGUCGUGAGACAGUUCGGUCCCUAUCUGCCGUGGGCGCUGGAGAAUUGAGGGGGGCUGCUCCUAGUACGAGAGGACCGGAGUGGACGCAUCACUGGUGUU